rnacentral:rRNA from 1 species
AACGAACGCUGGCGGCAUGCCUAACACAUGCAAGUCGAACGAGACCUUCGGGUCUAGUGGCGCACGGGUGCGUAACGCGUGGGAACCUGCCCUUAGGUUCGGAAUAACUCCCCGAAAGGGGUGCUAAUACCGGAUAAUGUCUUCGGACCAAAGAUUUAUCGCCUUUGGAUGGGCCCGCGUUGGAUUAGCUAGCUGGUAGGGUAAAAGCCUACCAAGGCGACGAUCCAUAGCUGGUCUGAGAGGAUGAUCAGCCACACUGGGACUGAGACACGGCCCAGACUCCUACGGGAGGCAGCAGUGGGGAAUAUUGGACAAUGGGCGAAAGCCUGAUCCAGCAAUGCCGCGCGAGUGAUGAAGGCCUUAGGGUUGUAAAGCUCUUUUACCCGGGAUGAUAAUGACAGUACCGGGAGAAUAAGCUCCGGCUAACUCCGUG